GACGAACUGUCCUAACGUUGUUCGGAAUCACUGGGCUUAAAGGGCGCGUAGGCGGUCCAACAAGUCGGGGGUGAAAUACUGCAGCUCAACUGUAGAAGUGCCUCCGAUACUGUAGGUCUAGAGGGAGAUAGGGGUGUGCGGAACUUCCAGUGGAGCGGUGAAAUGCGUUGAUAUUGGAAGGAACGCCGGUGGCGAAAGCGGCGCACUGGAUCUCUACUGACGCUGAGGCGCGAAAGCCAGGGGAGCAAACGGG
rnacentral:rRNA from 1 species